UAUAGUACAUUUCAUUAUGUAAUAUAUUAUAUGUUUGUGUUAGUUAUCCAUAUCCUUCCAUUAGAAAAUGAGGGUCUUGAUUUUGUUCAAUUCUAUAUUUUCUUUAUGUAGGAUGUAACUGGCUCUCAAUCAAUAUUUGUUGUUCGAAGAAAGAGAGAAGGAAGGAGGAUAUAAAUUAUUUCAUUUAUAUGCAGAGCAAGCAACAUAAAAUAUCCUUAAAUCCAGGCAAUUUGUGGUGCUAACAGAGAUCUUACUGCAGUAUUUUGAAUCCAGACUGUUGUCCUUCCUUUAGGUUUAUAGAGCACUGUUUAAUAUUUUCCAGAAAAAAAACUCAGUUUGAAAGAUAAUUUAAAUGAGAGAGAUAAGCCACUGAAUGGAAGACAAACUCAAACAGCAUGGGAAAAGAAAAACAAUGGAAAGCAACAGAGACACCAUCUCACUCUAUCACCCAGGCUGGAGUGCAGUGGCGUGAUCAUAGUUCACUGUCGCCUCAAAUUCCUGGGCUCAAAGAGGAAGUCUCACUAUCUUAGCCUAUCUGGUCUUGAACUUCUGUCCUCAAGCAAUUCUCCUGCCUCGGCCUCCCAAAGUGGAUUUCGUCUUCAAAUAUUCAUAAUGGAUACAGUUUACCAGGCACAAUCUAAGGCACAAACACAGCUUCUGGAUAUAUUAGCAUUGCCCUCCUCCCUAUACCCCAUUUAUAUCACAAAGAUGCUAAGCUCCAUGUGAGGUGAGGAAAUGUGUAAAGUGAAUGUUAUAAAUGUUAACAGCAGCAGUUCAUAAAUCACCUAUUAAAGACUGGGACACCUAAGACACUGUGUGCUCUACAACAGUGCAAAAAAAAUCUCCAGUUUCUCUUCAGACAAACGAUUUUUCUCAAGAAAGACUACAAGCACUAUUUUUUGAGUAACCACAUUAAAAAAAAACCUAACUCCUGUCUUAACCAUUCUAAUUAAGCUACAGCUAUGCUUCCAGACCAAGAACAGGUACUCGCAGGUGGAGCUGCAACUCAGCAACAGAACAUGUAAAAUUUGAAGCCAUAACUUUGAGAACUUUGUUCCCCGUAAUGUGCUCAGGCAUUUCUGUGCAGCAUGUCUUGUCACCAUGCCUGCUGCUGCUCAAUGCACAGUCACGCAAGCUGACAAAUAGGUCAACAUCCUGAAGUGUAGUCUCAAAGGUGCUCAGAAUUCUUCCAGGUGAGCUUUAUUUCUUCUACAAGUUUUAUUGUUUUGCCAUUCACACUUAAACUGUAAUAUACCUAGCAUUAAAUUUUAUGCAUAGUGGAAAGAAGGGAUCAAAUUUCAUUUUUUUUCAUAU
rnacentral:lncRNA from 10 species